UACGUAGGGUCCAAGCAUUAUCCGGAUUGACUGGGUGUAAAGAGUUGCGUAGGUGGUUUAUUAAGUAGGUAGUGAAAUCUGGUGGCUCAACCAUUCAGACUAUUACCUAAACUGGUAGACUCGAGAAUGUUAGGGGUAGCUGGAAUUUCUAGUGUAGGAGUGAAAUCCGUAGAUAUUAGAAAGAACACCGAUAGCGUAGGCAGGCUACUGGGACAUUUCUGACACUAAGGCACGAAAGCGUGGGGAGCAA
rnacentral:rRNA from 1 species